UCCUACGGGAGGCUGCAGUCGAGGAUCUUCGUCAAUGGGCGAAAGCCUGAACGAGCGACGCCGCGUGCGCGAUGAAGGCCUUCGGGUUGUAAAGCGCGAAAGUGGGGACGAAGCCGAAAGGUUGACCGAUCCACAGUAAGCUCGGGCUAAGUUCGUGCCAGCAGCCGCGGUAAGACGAACCGAGCGAACGUUGUUCGGAAUCACUGGGCUUAAAGGGCGCGUAGGCGGGCAUCAUAGUCUGUGGUGAAAUCCGGCAGCGUAACUGUCGAAUUGCCAUGGAUACUGGGUGUCUCGAGGGAGGCAGGGGUGCGCGGAACUAAUGGUGGAGCGGUGAAAUGCGUUGAUAUCAUUAGGAACUCCGGUGGCGAAGGCGGCGCACUGGUCCUUUUCUGACGCUGAGGCGCGAAAGCCAGGGGAGCAAACGGGAUUAGAUACCCCGGUAGUCU
rnacentral:rRNA from 1 species